rnacentral:rRNA from 1 species
AACGAACGCUGGCGGCGUGGAUUAGGCAUGCAAGUCGAACGCGAAAGAGGGGGUAACUCCUCGAGUAGAGUGGCGAACGGGUGAGUAACACGUGAGAAACCUGCCUUCAGCAGGGGGAUAACACUCCCAACGGGGUGCUAAUACCGCAUGAGACCACGGAUUCGCAUGGAUCUGGGGUCAAAGGUGGCCUCUGCUUGCAAGCUACCGGCUGAAGAUGGUCUCGCGCCCAUUAGCUAGUUGGUGGGGUAAUGGCCCACCAAGGCGACGAUGGGUAGCUGGUCUGAGAGGAUGGUCAGCCACACUGGGACUGAGAUACGGCCCAGACUCCUACGGGAGGCAGCAGUCGAGAGGCUUUGGCAAUGGGGAAACCCUGACCAAGCGACGCCGCGUGGGGGAUGAAGGCCCUUGGGUUGUAAACCCCUUUUGUUGGGGAAGAAACGCGAUCAGGUGAAUAAUCUGGUCGUUUGACGGUACCCGACGAAUAAGCUCCGGCUAACUCCGUGCCAGCCGCCGC